CCGGGAGGGGAGUGAAAUAGUACCUGAAACCGUAUGUCUACAAGCAGUCGGAGCGAAAGCGACGGCGUGCCUAUUGAAGAAUGAACCAACGAGUUAUCUGCACUAGCGAGGUUAAGUGGAAGACACGGAGCCGUAGCGAAAGCGAGUCUGAAAAGGGCGGAUAGUUAGUGUAGGUAGACCCGAAACCGCAGUGAUCUACCCAUGUCCAGGUUGAAGCGCAGGUAAAAAUGCGUGGAGGACCGAACCGGUGAGCGUUGAAAAGCUUUCGGAUGAGAUGUGGGUAGGGGUGAAAUUCCAAUCGAACGCGGAGAUAGCUGGUUCUCCCCGAAAUAGCUUUAGGGCUAGCCUCAGGUAGUAAGUAUAGGCGGUAGAGCACUGAUCGGGCUAGGGGCCAUAAAGGUUACCGAACCCUGUCAAACUCCGAAUGGAUAUACUGCAGAGCCUGGGAGUCAGACUACGAGUGAUAAGAUCCGUGGUCAAAAGGGAAACAGCCCAGACCACCGGCUAAGGUCCCAAAUGCCGUACUAAGUGGAAAAGGAUGUGGGGAUUCAUAAACAACCAGGAUGUUGGCUCAGAAGCAGCCACCAUUUAAAGAGUGCGUAAUAGCUCACUGGUCGAGAGUCCCUGCGCCGAAAAUUUCCGGGGCUAAAGUACGGAACCGAAGCCGUGGCUGUGUACGUAAGUACACGGGGUAGGGGAGCGUUGCCACAGGGGUGAAGCUGGUCUGGAAGGACUGGUGGACUUGUGGGAAGUGAGAAUGUUGGUAUGAGUAGCGAAAAGAAAGGUGAGAAUCCUUUCCACCGAAAGCAUAAGGAUUCCUGAGCAACGAUCGUCGUCUCAGGGUAAGUCGGGACCUAAUCCGAGGCAAAGAGCGUAGGAGAUGGACAACAGGUUGAUAUUCCUGUACCGGCAGCAAUUGUUUGAGCGAAGGAGUGACACAGAAGGGCAGGCAGGCGCGAGACUGGAUUGUCGCGUGCAAGCGUGUAGGGUAGUGUACAGGCAAAUCCGUACACUGAAAGCCUGAGGCGUUACGCGGAGCGAGCAGAGAUGCGAGCGAAGCUGCUGAUCCCACACUGUCGAGAAAAGCUUCUAGUGAGAGAGCUGCCGCCCGUACCGUAAACCGACACAGGUAUGCGGGGAGAGAAUCCUAAGGUGCGCGGGAGAACCCUCGUUAAGGAACUCGGCAAAAUGUACCCGUAACUUCGGGAUAAGGGUAGCCGUCUUGGUGAAAGAGCUUGCCUCUGGAGCUAAAGGCGGUCGCAGAGAAGAGGCCCAAGCGACUGUUUACCACAAACACAGGUGCCUGCUAAAGCGAAAGCUGACGUAUAGGUGCUGACACCUGCCCAGUGCUGGAAGGUUAAGGAAGGAUGUCCGGGCAACCAAAGCAUUCGACCGAAGCCCCAGUGAACGGCGGCCGUAACUAUAACGGUCCUAAGGUAGCGAAAUUCCUUGUCGGGUAAGUUCCGACCCGCACGAAAGGUGUAACGAUUUGGGCACUGUCUCAACGAGGGACCCGGUGAAAUUGAAAUACCUGUGAAGAUGCAGGUUACCCGCGACUGGACAGAAAGACCCCAUGGAGCUUUACUGUAACCUGACAUUGGGUUUUGUUGUAUUACGUACAGGAUAGGUGGGAGGCUUAGAAGGCUGGACGCUAGUCUGGCUGGAGCCGGCGUUGGGAUACCACCCUUGAUACAACGGAAUUCUAACCGAGAGAGUAACGAAAUCCGGGACAGUGUCAGGCGGGCAGUUUGACUGGGGCGG
rnacentral:rRNA from 1 species